AGUGAACGCUGGCGGUAGGCCUAACACAUGCAAGUCGAACGGCAGCACAGUAAGAGCUUGCUCUUACGGGUGGCGCGUGGCGGACGGGUGAGGAAUACAUCGGAAUCUACUUUUUCGUGGGGGCUAACGUAGGGAAACUUACGCUAAUACCGCAUACGACCUACGGGUGAAAGCAGGGGAUCUUCGGACCUUGCGCGAUUGAAUGAGCCGAUGUCGGAUUAGCUAGUUGGCGGGGUAAAGGCCCACCAAGGCGACGAUCCGUAGCUGGUCUGAGAGGAUGAUCAGCCACACUGGAACUGAGACACGUUCCACACUCCUGCGGGAGGCAGCAGUGGGGAAUAUUGGACGAUGGGGGCAAGCCUGAUCCAGCCAUACCGCGUGGGUGAAGAAGGCCUUCGGGUUGUAAAGCCCUUUUGUUGGGAAAGAAAAGCAGCAGGUUAAUACCCCGCUGUUCUGACGGUACCCAAAGAAUAAGCACCGGCUAACUUCGUG
rnacentral:rRNA from 1 species